CUUAUCCUGUGCUUUCUUCACGCAGGGACAAUGCAAUUGUGUAUUUAGCAUUAUUCAAUAAUUAUCUGAUAGCAGAAAUGGGUGUCUUUGUCACAGUUUAUUAGCGUGUGCCUCGUUAUUUUAUUUUUUUCUCUUAUACCUAUUCAAGCACAAGUGCGUGUAAUUUUUCAUGGGUCUUUUUUUCUUUCACUGCUUUUACUUAGAAGAAAGGCAUUUGGUAAAGCUGAAUUCAUGAGGAGUGGGUUUGUUAGCUUAUUAGGUGUCAUUAGUCGCACGGUAUGUUGAAGAAGUAAGCAGUGCUUAAUCUUGCAGUUGUGGGUAUUUGAGCAGAAAUGCUAGUAUCUGGAGCCAGGAGUAGAGAUUCCUAUAAAGCACGUCUCCUUGUGCAUUCCUGAGCGUCUGUGUGCGUGCGCACAUGUGUGCUUUUUCCUGGUUUGUGACGUCAUCCUGGCACGUUGGGGCUUGUUUAGCAGUGUUGGAAUUUUACCCGCCGCUAUUAUCUAGCCACGUAGCAAUGUCCGGUGACUCUGCGAUUAUUCCUGAGGUCUUAAGCCUUUUCCCUCAUCGCUUAAGUGAAUUUGUGUACCCUUGUCCUGUGCUUUCUUUAUGCUGGGACAAUGCAGUUGUGUGUAUCGCAUUACGCAAUAAUUUUCUGGUACCAGAAAUGGGUGUGUUUUGUCAUUUGAUGGUAGUUUGCUAGCAUGUGUUUAAUUUCUGAAGUCCUAGCUAUUUUGCUAUUCGAACAGAAAUGAUGGUAUCUGAGGGUUUAAUGCUGAGGGUAGAAAUUCCUGUCUGAGAUGAAUCUGCAUUUCACUGCAAUUUGUUUCAUUUAAGUAAUAUUAUUGAAAUUCCGCAGCCACUGUGAACAAAAAAGGGAUGGUUGUGUGCCUGCUCAUAGAAGCAACUUGCAUAUUGGAAUGACAUGUGAUGAGAGUGAACUUUGCGCUCAGGUGCGGCAAUGGCGUAUGCGGAGAGAGCAUUACAUAAAGCCAAGGGCAAGCUGUGACCUUGAACAUGCACAGCAAGUUAUUUUUUGGCUAUGACGACUCCCCGCACCCAUGCAUGUUGGGGCAUGCAGCGAGGGCGCCGCUAUAUAAGUGGGGAGGAUGUGUAAAGAGGCAGCAGUCUUCGCAUUGCUUCAGGAGUGUGCGGAGCUCGCUUCAAAAUGCCUAGAUGCGUGUUCUGCUUUUUUGAUCCUCAUGAUAUCGGGGAUGAUGAGCCAUUGGAAGAGAAUUCACCAUCUUCUCCAGGCAAUUCACCUGGCACAUUGCAUGCUCACGUCGAGCGAUCACAUCCCUAUGUGGACAUUUCCUUCCUGCCUUUCUUUCAAACUGAUAGCGCAUUUCGAGGUAUCGUCAAAGCGUUUGUGCUAUUGGCAUCUGUUCACGAUCAGGGAGUAGAGGACUUGCGACAAUAUUUAAUCAAUCACCUCCACAAUAUAAUUGCUAUUUUGCGAGCGCAGGAAUACCCUUUAGGUUUUGCAUUUGUUCUGACGUUCUAAUGAUUAAAGAAAAUCGAGGGAUAUAACCGCACACAUAACUCAUUUUACGGCGCUUGCUCGCGAAGUCCACAGCGACGGAGCUAUCGCAAAAACUUUGAUGAACGUGAUUCAGGAGUCCAACGGGCGCAUUGAAAAUUACCAGCACGAGGGUAGUGGGUUUGUAUCCACUGACGUCCAAAAAGUUCAAAUGUGUAUUUCCGCUGUGAAAACUAAAAAAUUCGGGUGCAAUGGGGUACUUCCCACUAAUUUGGCUAGUCGUAGGAAUGUCCUAACGAAUGUCCCUUUACCAGAGCGUAAGGAGGGCGAGUGCUUUAAAUACAAUACGCUCGCCCUCUUGCACCCACAGGAAAGGAACCGAUGGAAAAAAUAUGAAAUUUAUGCAACAGAGUACUGGUGGCCUACUCACUUCCCUGUUUCAUUCGCUGGUCUGGACGAGUUCAAAGAGAAAAAUAGGAUGUACGUGUACGUGUACGUCGAUCAGGGAGUGCAUGAGUCACGACCCCCAAAACUGGAAAACGAAAAGAAAAUUAACUUAUUGGAGGUUGAUGAGCAUUUUUUCGGAAUUAAGUCCCUCGAGCGUUUGUUGACGAGAAAGAACAUGCGUUUCGUAUGCAAACGUUGCACUCGCUCUUUUAAUGAGGAAAAGAGCAUGGCGAAACAUCGAUGCCUUUGCGCGGACAUGAACGAAAUCCUCUUAGAAUUUUGUGAACCCGGAGAAAAUUUUGUAGAAUUUACUAAAAUACAGUACAUGCAACAGUACAACUACGUUGUCGCGCUGGACACGGAGAGCGUACUUGCGCCCGGUGGUGAUGGCAUGCAGCGUCACAUCACCUCUAGCUUUUGUGCCAUGCUCGUGCGUACCCAACGACUCAAGGGUGUUGCGCAUCAGGGCGCACCACGGGGAAGAUGCUGCGAGGCAGUGCAUGAAAGCAUUGACGGAAAUGCGGGAUGAGAUGAUCGCCCUGAACGCUUGCCCCGCCGCAAUGGUGCUGAAUGAUGAGCAAUGCACUGAGCACAGAGCUGCUACCCACUGUGCGUACUGUAAACAGGAGUUUACCGAAGAUCUACCCCAUGUCCGGCAUCAUGACCAUUCAAAGCAUUGUAGUGCGGGCGAGACAAAUUAUAUCGCGACAUUGUGUAACCCCUGUAACGUCGCGUGCACGACGAGGUAAAAAUUGCCGAUCAUGGUACACAAUUUUUUCCUACGAUUUGGCCGGGCUGCUGCGGGAAUUUCAUGUUCUUGGGUAGAAGCGACCUCCCUUCAUUGUGGCCAUCUCCAUGCAAAAAAUUUGUUCAUUCAAAAUUGGCACCUUCCUGUUUAGAGAUACCAUGCAAUAUCUAAAUUUGUUGCUGGGGGAUCUCGUGGAACCUGUCAAAUCCUAGGGGGGUGCAGAGGCAUUCCAAUGCUUGAAGCAGGCAUUUGGAAACGACUACAGAAUUUUACUUCAUAAAGGUGUAUUCCCGUACAGCCAUGUCAGUUCUUUCGCCAUGUACGAUGAAUUGGCCUUGCCAGAGAAAUCCUCCUUUCGAAACGAUCUCACGGGGGAGGAUAUAAGUGAGGAGGACUACCAGUAUGCGUUGCUCGUAUUUGUACAUUUUAGAUGCUCAAAUCUGAGGGGUUAUAAUGCACUGUACUUGAAAACGGAUGCCCUAUUACAUGCAGACGUGAUGCACCACUUCCGACGUCUGUGCUACAGCGCACGCGGAUUGGAAUUGCUUUAUUGUGUUUCUCUGGCAUCCUAUUCGUGGCAAUGCGCUCUAAAUUACACGCAGGCAAAAUUUCAGUUAACCGUCGACGAGGACAUGUACAGAACCAUUGAAUCGGGCGUUAGAGGCGGGCUCUGUCAGGCGAGCAGGCGUCAUUUGUGGGCUAACAACCCUCUGUAUAGUGGCCAUGACCCCGAUAAAGAGGAGGUGUACCACCCAUAUCAUACAUAGAUUGCAACAAUCUUUACGGAUUCAGUAUGAUAAAGCUCCUCCUCGUUGGUGAUUUCGAAUGGGUCGAGGCUUUUAGCUCUGUGGAUUUCAUGCGUCACCCCUUAGAUUCGGAUGUGGGGUAUGUGACUUGGAGUAUCCAAAAUCUAUCUAACGAGGUACUUCCCCCUGGCUCCUGAGAAGGCAGUAGUCCCGGAGGAAUGGCUCUCGCAUUUCCAGCGAGCGCUUCUCGAAGAAUUAAUGUAUCAGCCAGCUAACAGCAAAAAGCUGUUGCCCACGUGCAAGGACAAGGUCAAGUACGUCAUUCAUUACGCAUUGCUCACACUCUAUUGUAGAUUGAGCAUGAGGGUGACGAAAAUUCACCGAAUUCUAAAAUUUCGCCAGGCUCCAUUCCUACGUCCCUACAUCGAGGACAAUGUUGCCAGACGCGUUGCUUCAGGCACGACAUUGGAAAAAAACUUCUACAAACUCUCAAAUAAUGCAGUUUUCGGGAGAACACUUUUAAAUAAAUUUAACACGCGUGAUAUUCGAGUAGCCUUCGAUGAGGAGACAGCGAGUCGCCUCGGGAGUCGGGCAGAACGCGUGAGAAUGGAAAUUUUGUCCCCGGAUUGUGUCAUGUACGAAAUGCGCAAAAGAAAAGUGCGAUGCGAUUUCCCGCUCCAUAUUGGGUUUACGAUUCUAGAGCUCAGUAAAUUAACCAUGUACACAUUCUACUAUGACACCCUGCUGAGUAAGCUCACUUGUCCGGUGAUUACCUGUUAAUCUGACAUGGAUUCUCUGAUCCUCAGCCUGUUCUGCAAGGACUACGAAGAUCAGUUACGAGCGAUCGCCGACGACCACUUAGAUUUGUCUUCCUUCGAUCGGGAUCGUCCACUGUACAGUGAAAAGAAUCGUGGAAAACUUGGGGCAUUCAAAAGCGAAACUGGUAGUGUACCUAUUCAGGAAGUAGUAUGUUUGAAAGCUAAAAUGUAUUCCAUCAAAUUAGCUGGAGGAAAGCAAAUUGCAAGAGCUAAAGGGGUCAAAAAGAAUAUUGUACGCAAGCACCUCCUCCAUGGGACAUACUACGAUACCUUGUUCAAUCACACAAGCGUAUCGAACGAACAAGUAUCAAUCGUUGGAAAAAAGCAGUGUAGGUACACCAUCAGAAGUGUCAAAAGAAGUCUGAUUGCAUACGAUGACAAGAGAUACCUCUGCAAUGACAUCGACUCCUAUCCUUAUGGAAGCUAUGAAUAAGCUAUGAAGAUGUGCAGGAAGAGAAUUAAUGCUUCUGUCACAUACUGUUCUCUCCUGCGGUUUGCCUCUGGGCCAUGGACAGAGAAGGACAAAUGUCUGGGUGAUCCACAGAGUACCUGUGUGAAGAACACUAUGGACGUUAGAGGAGAUGUACGGCGUGCAUGGAGGUGCCCCAGGGAGAACUACAAUAUCUCUGAGACUGCCAUGAUGUACCCAAUACACAUUGAAAACUAUUUACCAUGUUUUUGUGUCCCAACCAUUGCCGAGAGUCGCCCAAGCUAAAAAGGAAGGCCUCCUGGACCAAUAAGCAAUUUGGGGGAACUGCGAGCUGGCCUACAAACGAAUGGGAUUGAUCAAUGAGUGGUUGUCUAUGAUGCAGCUGGAAUCGUGAAGCAAUAUGCAGUUGAAAGCGUGUGACCGAGUAACUAGAGAGUGGAAAUGACAAAUGAGUCUAUCGAGCAUGUAUGAGAGGCAGCCAAUAGGCCAAUAACUAGGUUUUAGAAAUGAAUGGAAGUGACCACCCCCAGACCAAUAGACAAGUGAGCGAUUUGGAAGCCUAUGAGCAGACUUAGAAUUGAAUAGAAUAGAUCAUUUGGUGUCUACGAGCGAGUGAGCAGAUGUUGUGGCAAUGAAGGGUAGCCAAUCACAUAGAAAUUAGAUGGAUCACCAUGAAGGGGUGGAGCCUGAAUCGGUCAAUCAGCGUGAAGGGGUAGAGCUGUGACCAACCAACCAGAGGACUUAGAAGUGGCUUGACCUGGAUUAGAAUUGGGUGGUGGCUUAGAAAUUCCUAGAACUGGAUUACAAAAAAGAGCGAUUUGGAAGCCUAUGAGCAGACUUGGAAUUGAAUAGAAUAGAUAAUUUUGGUGUCUGUGAGCGAGUGAGCAAAUGUGGCAAUGAAGGGUAGCCAAUCACAUAGAAAUUGGAUGGAUCACCAUGAAGGGGUAGAGCCUGGAUUAGACCUGGCUUGACCUGGAUUAGAAAUGGGUGGUGGAUUAGAAAUUCCUAGAACUGGAUUAGAAAAAAGUGGCUGUUGUGGGGCUCGAAUCUAUACUACUAUGGCAUUCACAAUGAAAACAUCGCCCGUGACAAAUAUAAAACAGUCCUACACACCCUCGGGCAUGGAGUUACAGUUAGUCCGUGCGGCCUGCUGGUUCUGCCCUCGUGUCCCUGGCUAGGAGCAUCUCCAGGUGGCAUUAUUUUUGACCCAAAGGAAGACCCUCCUCACAGAGAACUCUCAGAGGAAAGCUUUUUCGCAGUAAGGGCGGUAGAGGAUACGGCAGCUGAGUGCGAGGAUGGUGAAAAUGUGCCGCUUUCAAGCAGAACCAGAAAGCCAGUGCUCAACAGGGAACACGAGUACUACUAUCAGGUGCUUGGACAAAUGGCGUUAUCAGGGUUACAAUGGGCCGACUUUGGUGUUUACUCGAGGGAUUUUAUACUUAUCGAGAGAAUACCUUUUUCAAUGUGUGAUUAGGAACGUGUGGAGCGCAAGCUCACCCAAUUCUAUUUUGAAACACUACUGCCUA